UUAAAUAAAAAUCGGUGUUGUUGCCGCCUUUCGUGGUGACGCGUCGGAAUUGAGUCGUCUUAACCGAACUUCGGUUAAGUGACUUAAAAUCUUGCAUGAUUUUCGAACGUAUUUAAAUUUGCUUACGUACGUUUGGGAUAUCGGAUGUUUAAUUAGGUUCGGUCAUCCUACAUGACUCGCGCCUAUAAUUUUUUCAUUAU
rnacentral:misc_RNA from 1 species